rnacentral:rRNA from 1 species
GACGAACGCUGGCGGCGUGCUUCAUACAUGCAAGUCGAACGAGAAUCUCUAGCUUGCUAGAGAGGAAAGUGGCGGACGGGUGAGUAAUAUGUAGAGAAUCUGCCCUUGAGAGGGGGACAACAGCUGGAAACGGUUGCUAAUACCCCAUAUGAGCGUACCUGAGAUGGUAUUCUUGAAAACUCUGGUGCUCAAGGAUGAGUCUGCAUCUGAUUAGCUAGUUGGCGGGGUAAUGGCCCACCAAGGCGACGAUCAGUAGCUGGUUUGAGAGGAUGAUCAGCCACAAUGGGACUGAGACACGGGCCCAUACUCCUACGGGAGGCAGCAGUAGGGAAUUUUUGCGCAAUGGGCGAAAGCCUGACGCAGCAACGCCGCGUGAACGAGACGCCC